UGCAUUAAAAUAUUAUGUUCUUUUAUUGGUCUAGUUGCAGGACUUGGUUAUUUCUAGCAUCUUAGAACAAAGUUGAUACUCAUUGCUGCGUCUAAGCAAAACUUCAUGAAGAAACAAAGCCACACCCGAUUAUCCCAUUUGCAAUUUCUGAGUGGAAUAUCAAGGCUGGGGAAAGCGUAGGUUGCUCGGUUGACUAGUUUGUGUGAUGCAGGCCCAAAUAAGAGGGCACUGUGUAUAUGCAUUUUUGAAAUCAAAGGGCUAGGAUAUUCAAGGUCCCAAUUCAAAUGAAAUCAAUAAACAGGACAGAAGUGAAUGACAUUGCUUUCUAGGUUGCCCAUAGGCUUUAGGGAUUAGGUACAGGUAUCCGGAAAGGUAAUCUAGAGGUCUUAGCGGCUUCCAAAGAUGACUUGAUAUUGGCAUCAAAUGAGACUUUAGGUAGCAGUGCAUUGUUCUGGUGAAAAAAAUGAAAUAAGAGUGCAGAUGUGGUGUUUUUAAUCAGUAAAGAAAUAAGGGUGAAUCUUCGUUUAAAGGGCCUUUAGGGUCUGUUAUGACUUUUGUUUUAGUCUUAUGAAAAAAGAACAAAGAAACCUUCAUAUUAUGUAUUGAAAACUGGAAAAAAUAAGAAGACGGAAAAUAAGAAGAUAGACACAAAAGUAAAAAAUAAAUAGAGAAAAUUGAGAAAGUAAUGGGACACAAUGAGAAAGGAAAAAAACAAGAAUGAAGAAGAUAUGUAGAAGCGAAAGGAAGGAGCAAGCUAUUCUUGGAUUUGCUACAAUUUGAGCAGUCAUCAAGAUAAUCAUAACAGGCCCCAGACCAGCCUCCCAAAAACUAGCCAGACCCACUUUUGCUUGCCUCAUUGACUCCAUUUAGGACUCCACAAGA
rnacentral:lncRNA from 1 species